UCCUUUCAGGCAUUGGGGGAACCUGGAUGCAGACUGGCUUUUGUGGGAGUCACAUGAUUGUUAAGGGAGUGUGUUUCCCUCCCCAGAAAGCCUGCAAUCCCCUAACCUUCUUUGUAGAUUUGUCAGCACCAGCUAAGAAACGCGUUACGUAUCCCAAUUCAGGGACGCUUUUUCCACCUAUAGCUUCUAGAAUUCUCCAUCUGCUCCCUCUCCCCCAAAAGCCUUCCCACAAUUCCCCCUACCUCAAUAAGUUUUUGUAAUUAGUUUUUGGGUUUUUUUUAAAUGGAAACUAAAGUCACCAUUUAGAUGCAGUGAAAGAAAUCAACAUUUUGGAAAGGCCAAGAAAUAUUUAUCAUCUCUAAAAAUUGCAGUUUUUCUUAACUAAUCAUUGAUCUCUCUACUCCUGUAAAGCCACAAGACAAUUUGUAGCACUCUUAACAUUUGUAGUAUUUUAAAUUCUCCACUUCUAUAACCCAUCUUCCAUUUCAAACACUGAACAAGUAUCUUUCACCCUAGAAAUCUAUAGAGCCAGGUCUCUGCUGGAGUAAAAGGCAUCUAAAAUAAAAGCACACUGGAGAACUGGUGGUUGAUAUUUUACUUUUCUUCUGAAAAGGAAAAUUCUUAAGUACUUAAGAGUCCAGAGUUGGAAACUCAACAAAAAUAGCACAAGCCCACGUGCAACUCCUGAGCCUGACUACAGUUUUUGUGACUGGUAACACAGGAACUACGUACUCUGUUAAUGCUGGUACAACUCAACCUUUACAUUUUGCGGAGAUUUCUAACGCUGUGACUUUUCAACUUUCUCAUCUAUCCUGAAAUGCCAAGAGAACAGUGACUAAUAAGUGGUGCUCCUUGGAGUCCAACUUGGUCUUGCUGCAUCCCAAAGUCUCCGCAUUCUUCCCUGGGAGUUAGCCUCUGCAGCUGCCAGAACUGGUGUCCAGCUCAUUGGCAGAUGGUCCAGAACUGCUGCUUCUCUAUCAGAAUGGUGUAUAAAAGUCACCUCAGAUGCUCCAGACACCACAAUAAGAGUGACAACACUGAAGACCUAGAAUUGCUGGCAUCUGGAAGAAAGGAACGAGCUUUACUUGAGGCUAUAAUCUAGACUCAUUAGGGAUUAAGGCAUUGCCCUGCAGGAAACAGUUCUCAGCAUGUGCCCACAUGCACUUGGGUAAGAACUGCAUCUAUGCAAAUUCUGCACUGCAAACACAUCUGCGUGGGCCUGACUAUCCUAGAAUCUCAAACUUUCCCACAUACAUUCACUCAGUCUGAACUCCCUUGUGAGGAAAAUGAUAAUAAGGCACAUUUUACAGGGGGAAAAAUAAAGGCAGAGAUAAACUAAGUGACAUGGUCAAAGUCAUAUUAUGAGUCAACAGCAAAAGGGAUACUUGGAACUAGCAACUCCUGACUCCACUUCCUCCAUCUAGGGGCUGAAGCAAGCUUCUACACAUGCUCUAGCCAGAGCUGUUACUGGCCUAGAGCAGCAGUCAGCAAUGUUUUCUGGCAGUAAGCCAAAAUUAACCAGCUUGGGUCUGAGGCAAGCCUGCACUAGGAUCUAGCUGCUGCUUCUGCUUCUCCCCAGUGCUCAGGAGCAGCCUGUGGCCAAACACCACCACUGAAGCCCCCCAGCUCUGUGGGUUGCCAGCCCUUGCACACAUUCAGUGCUAACUCUUUUUAAGUGCUCAUAUCUGUUAUGCAGAAGGAUGUUAAUAUCACUUACAGACCACCUGCUUUAAUUAUAAAUAGCCUAAGGUCUGUUUUGAGUAUCUAGACUUCAUGCCAAUAUAGGACUGUCAACAUAUUUUUAAGUAAAUUAAAAAUUAAGAGAUGCUACCAAUUCAGUUGGAAUGAAAGAUUACUGGAAGGCUGAGAUAUGAACAGAUUUCUUCUACUAGGCACAAGGACUGCAGUUUUCCCAAAAUCUCUGCCAACCUGUGCAUUAUGCUUUGCCUACCAGUCCGCUCUUUGUUGUAGCUGUAAGAUACAAGCUGAAGUAGACAAACGGACAAACUGUCCAAGCUGCUUCUGCUAUAGGAAGCAGUAGGACGGUUAGAGCUGUACUAAGAGACAAGAGACAGCUGCAGUUCCUAGCAUGCCAUUACAUUGGCUGCAAAAGCAGAAGUAGAAGAUAAGAAAAGCAGCUUUAUGCCAUCUAUCUGCCAGAAAAGCCACUGAUAGUAAAACAACAGAUUUUUCCCUUUGUUAAAUGGAAAGCAGAAAGGAGCAAAACAUAGUGUGCAGUACAAACUCGCUGAAAGUAUCCUACCUCCCAUUCUCUUGCGAGUUUGGCCGGCAC